rnacentral:snoRNA from 1 species
GGUCCAUGGUGAGGACACCUUCUCAACAAAUCCUUAAAUCUCUCCCAUGUAUCAUAAAGAGUCUAAAUAUCAAACUGAACAAUAGAAGAGAUAUCAUUCCUCAACUU